rnacentral:rRNA from 1 species
AGUGAAUGCUGGCGGUAGGCCUAACACAUGCAAGUCGAACGGCAGCACAGUAAGAGCUUGCUCUUACGGGUGGCGAGUGGCGGACGGGUGAGGAAUACAUCGGAAUCUACUUUUUCGUGGGGGAUAACGUAGGGAAACUUACGCUAAUACCGCAUACGACCUACGGGUGAAAGCAGGGGAUCUUCGGACCUUGCGCGAUUGAAUGAGCCGAUGUCGGAUUAGCUAGUUGGCGGGGUAAAGGCCCACCAAGGCGACGAUCCGUAGCUGGUCUGAGAGGAUGAUCAGCCACACUGGAACUGAGACACGGUCCAGACUCCUACGGGAGGCAGCAGUGGGGAAUAUUGGACAAUGGGCGCAAGCCUGAUCCAGCCAUACCGCGUGGGUGAAGAAGGCCUUCGGGUUGUAAAGCCCCUUUGUUGGGAAAGAAAAGCAGCAGGUUAAUACCCCGCUGUUCUGACGGUACCCAAAGAAUAAGCACCGGCUAACUUCGUG